GACGAACGCUGGCGGCGUGCUUAACACAUGCAAGUCGAACGGAAAGGCCCUGCUUUUGUGGGGUGCUCGAGUGGCGAACGGGUGAGUAACACGUGAGUAACCUGCCCUUGACUUUGGGAUAACUUCAGGAAACUGGGGCUAAUACCGGAUAGGAGCUCCUGCUGCAUGGUGGGGGUUGGAAAGUUUCGGCGGUUGGGGAUGGACUCGCGGCUUAUCAGCUUGUUGGUGGGGUAGUGGCUUACCAAGGCUUUGACGGGUAGCCGGCCUGAGAGGGUGACCGGCCACAUUGGGACUGAGAUACGGCCCAGACUCCUACGGGAGGCAGCAGUGGGGAAUAUUGCACAAUGGGCGGAAGCCUGAUGCAGCAACGCCGCGUGCGGGAUGACGGCCUUCGGGUUGUAAACCGCUUUCGCCUGUGACGAAGCGUGAGUGACGGUAAUGGGUAAAGAAGCACCGGCUAACUACGUGCCAGCAGCCGCGGUGAUACGUAGGGUGCGAGCGUUGUCCGGAUUUAUUGGGCGUAAAGGGCUCGUAGGUGGUUGAUCGCGUCGGAAGUGUAAUCUUGGGGCUUAACCCUGAGCGUGCUUUCGAUACGGGUUGACUUGAGGAAGGUAGGGGAGAAUGGAAUUCCUGGUGGAGCGGUGGAAUGCGCAGAUAUCAGGAGGAACACCAGUGGCGAAGGCGGUUCUCUGGGCCUUUCCUGACGCUGAGGAGCGAAAGCGUGGGGAGCGAACAGGCUUAGAUACCCUGGUAGUCCACGCUGUAAACGGUGGGUACUAGGUGUGGGGUCCAUUCCACGGGUUCCGUGCCGUAGCUAACGCUUUAAGUACCCCGCCUGGGGAGUACGGCCGCAAGGCUAAAACUCAAAGGAAUUGACGGGGCCCCGCACAAGCGGCGGAGCAUGCGGAUUAAUUCGAUGCAACGCGUAGAACCUUACCUGGGUUUGACAUGGAUCGGGAGUGCUCAGAGAUGGGUGUGCCUCUUUUGGGGUCGGUUCACAGGUGGUGCAUGCCUGUCGUCAGCUCGUGACGUGAGAUGUUGGGUUAAGUCCCGCAACGAGCGCAACCCUUGUUCACUGUUGCCAGCACGUUAUGGUGGGGACUCAGUGGAGACCGCCGGGGUCAACUCGGAGGAAGGUGGGGAUGACGUCAAGUCCUCAUGCCCCUUAUGUCCAGGGCUUCACGCAUGCUACAAUGGCUGGUACAGAGAGUGGCGAGCCUGUGAGGGUGAGCGAAUCUCGGAAAGCCGGUCUCAGUUCGGAUUGGGGUCUGCAACUCGACCUCAUGAAGUCGGAGUCGCUAGUAAUCGCAGAUCAGCAACGCUGCGGUGAAUACGUUCCCGGG
rnacentral:rRNA from 1 species